GCAGGAACCUCCUUGCUUCCCUCUGAAGCUCCCUUUCUAGAAAGGUCAGAGCCGUUCCUUCCCAUUCAUGUGUUGAAAUAAGCACAUGAUUCAGUUAUCACCCUUCCUCAAACCCCUCCAGCUUACAUGCUUUGGAAACAGGCAGCCAAGGUGGAUGGAGAGCAGAGAUGUUUCCUGUCUUCAGCUUCUUGAGAGCUCAUUGAUUGAGGCAGCAUCUCUCACAGCCUGAAGCCCAGCAAUUCAGCUUCUCUGGCUUGUCAGCAAGACUCCAGGACUCUCCUUUCUCGAUGUCCCCUGUGUUGGGAUUACAGGCCUACACAGCUAUACUUGGCUUCUCAUAUGGGCACCAGGAAACCCAGACCUUGGUGUUUGUUCAGUAAGCAUUCACUGACUUAGUCAUCUCCCUGGCCCCAGACUUUCUCCUUUCUCAAGGCUGAAUAGUAUUCUACUGUGUACAGCUGUAGACUUUACCCUUUCUCAAUCCACUAUUAGACAACAGA